rnacentral:rRNA from 1 species
AGAGUUUGAUCCUGGCUCAGGACGAACGCUGGCGGCGUGCUUAACACAUGCAAGUCGAGCGGUAAGGCCCUUCGGGGUACACGAGCGGCGAACGGGUGAGUAACACGUGAGCAAUCUGCCCUUCACUCAGGGAUAACCACCGGAAACGGUGGCUAAUACCUGAUAUGACCACUUCACGCAUGUGAUGGUGGUGGAAAGUUCUGGCGGUGGAGGAUGAGCUCGCGGCCUAUCAGCUUGUUGGUGGGGUAAUGGCCUACCAAGGCAACGACGGGUAGCCGGCCUGAGAGGGUGACCGGCCACACUGGGACUGAGACACGGCCCAGACUCCUACGGGAGGCAGCAGUGGGGAAUAUUGGACAAUGGGCGAAAGCCUGAUCCAGCAACGCCGCGUGAGGGAUGACGGCCUUCGGGUUGUAAACCUCUUUCAGUACCGACGAAGCGCAAGUGACGGUAGGUACAGAAGAAGCACCGGCCAACUACGUGCCAGCAGCCGCGGUAAUACGUAGGGUGCGAGCGUUGUCCGGAAUUAUUGGGCGUAAAGGGCUCGUAGGCGGUCUGUCGCGUCGGGAGUGAAAUCUCAGGGCUUAACCCUGAGCCUGCUUCCGAUACGGGCAGACUAGAGGUAUGCAGGGGAGAACGGAAUUCCUGGUGUAGCGGUGAAAUGCGCAGAUAUCAGGAGGAACACCGGUGGCGAAGGCGG